GAUGAAGAACGUAGCGAAAUGCGAUAAGUAGUGUGAAUUGCAGAAUUCAGUGAAUCAUCGAAUCUUUGAACGCACAUUGCGCCCCUUGGUAUUCCAUGGGGCAUGCCUGUUCGAGCGUCAUUUGUACCUUCAAGCUUUGCUUGGUGUUGGGUGUUUGUCUCGCCUUUGCGUGUAGACUCGCCUUAAAAUAAUUGGCAGCCGGCGUAUUGAUUUCGGAGCGCAGUACAUCUCGCGCUUUGCACUCAUAACGACAGCGUCCAAAAGUACAUUUUACACUCUUGACCUCGGAUCAGGUAGGGAUACCCGCUGAACUUAAGCAUAUCAAUAGCGGAGGA
rnacentral:misc_RNA from 1 species